UACGAAGGGGGCGAGCGUUGUUCGGAUUUACUGGGCGUAAAGGCGCGCAGGCGGCCAUUCAAGUCAGGCGUGAAAGCCCCGGGCCUUAACCUGGGAGGUGCGCUUGGGGACUGGGGUGGCUAGAGAUCGGGGAGAGGAGAGUGGAAUUCCCCAGUGUAGAGGUGAGAUUCGUAGAUAUUGGGAAGAACACCGGUGGCGAAGGCGGAUCUCUGGGCCGAUACUGACGCUGAGGAGCGAAAGCGUGGGGAGCGAACAGG
rnacentral:rRNA from 1 species